GUGAGGAAUAUUGGUCAAUGGGCGAGAGCCUGAACCAGCCAAGUCGCGUGAAGGAAGAAGGAUCUAUGGUUCGUAAACUUCUUUUGCAGGGGAAUAAAGUGCAGGACGUGUCCUGUUUUGUAUGUACUCUGCGAAUAAGGAUCGGCUAACUCCGUGCCAGCAGCCGCGGUAAUACGGAGGAUCCAAGCGUUAUCCGGAUUUAUUGGGUUUAAAGGGUGCGCAGGCGGGUUGAUAAGUCAGUGGUGAAAGUUUGCAGCUUAACUGUAAAAUUGCCGUUGAAACUGUCGAUCUUGAGUGCAAAUGAGGUAAGCGGAAUGUGUUGUGUAGCGGUGAAAUGCUUAGAUAUAACACAGAACACCGAUUGCGAAGGCAGCUUACUGGGAUGCAACUGACGCUCAUGCACGAAAGCGUGGGGAUCAAACAGGAUUAGAAACCCUGGUAGUCC
rnacentral:rRNA from 1 species